rnacentral:rRNA from 1 species
CCUCGGGCGGCUGCAGUCGAGAAUCAUUCACAAUGGGGGAAACCCUGAUGGUGCGACGCCGCGUGGGGGAAUGAAGGUCUUCGGAUUGUAAACCCCUGUCAUGUGGGAGCAAAUUAAAAAGAUAGUACCACAAGAGGAAGAGACGGCUAACUCUGUGCCAGCAGCCGCGGUAAUACAGAGGUCUCAAGCCUUGUUCGGAAUCACUGGGCGUAAAGCGUGCGGAGGGUGUUUCGUAAGUCGUGUGUGAAAGGCGAGGGCUCAACCCGCGGACGGCACAUGACACUGCGAGACUAGAGUAAUGUAGGGGGAACCGGAAUUCGCGGUGUAGCAGUGAAAUGCGUAGAUAUCGGGAGGAACACUCGUGGCGAAGGCGGGUUGCUGGACAUUAACUGACGCUGAGGCACGAAGGCCAGGGGAGCGAAAGGGAUUAGAUACCCGUGUAGUC